rnacentral:rRNA from 1 species
UAAAAAGUCUGACCUGCCCAAUGAUUUUAUUUAAUGGCCGCAGUAUUUUAACUGUGCAAAGGUAGCAUAAUCAUUAGUUUUUUAAUUGAAAGCUGGAAUGAAUGGUUUGAUGAAAAAUUAACUGUCUCUUUAUUAAUUUUAAAAUUUUAUAUUUAAGUAAAAAAGCUUAAAUUUUUUAAUUAGACGAGAAGACCCUAUAGAGUUUUAUAUAAAAUUGGUUAAUAAUUUUUUGGAUAAAAUAUAUUAUAAAUUUAUUGAAUAUUUUAUUGGGGUGAUAAAAAAAUUUAAAUAACUUUUUAAUUUUAAAUCAUUUAUUUAUGAAAAGUUGAUCUUAAAGUUUAGAUUAAAAGAAAAAAUUACCUUAGGGAUAACAGCGUAAUAUUUUUUUAGAGUUCAAAUUAAAAAAAAUGAUUGCGACCUCGAUGUUGGAUUAAAAUUAAUAAUUGGUGAAGAAGCUAAUUUAUUAGGUCUGUUCGACCUUUAAAAUUUUACA